rnacentral:misc_RNA from 1 species
GAUGAAGAACGUAGCGAAAUGCGAUAAGUAAUGUGAAUUGCAGAAUUCAGUGAAUCAUCGAAUCUUUGAACGCACAUUGCGCCCCCUGGUAUUCCGGGGGGCAUGCCUGUCCGAGCGUCAUUACAACCCUCAAGCUCAGCUUGGUGUUGGGCCCCGCCGCCCCGGCGGGCCCUAAAGUCAGUGGCGUGCCGUCCGGCUCCGAGCGUAGUAAUUCUUCUCGCUCUGGAGGUCCGGUCGUGUGCUCGCCAGCAACCCCCAAUUUUUUUCAGGUUGACCUCGGAUCAGGUAGGGAUACCCGCUGAACUUAAGCAUAUCAAUAAGCGGAGGA